rnacentral:rRNA from 1 species
UACGGAGGGUGCAAGCGUUAUCCGGAUUCACUGGGUUUAAAGCGUGUGUAGGCGGAUCGUUAAGUACCUUGUGAAAUCCCACGGCUCAACCGUGGAACUGCUGGGUAUACUGGCGGUCUUGAGCCACCUAGGGGCGAGCGGAACAAGCGGUGGAGCGGUGAAAUGCGUAGAUAUCGCUUGGAACGCCAACGGUGAAAACAGCUCGCUGGGGUGUGCUGACGCUGAGACACGAAAGCCAGGGGAGCGAACGGG